GGGGCAAGCGUUGUCCCGGGAAUCAACUGGGCGUAAAGGGCGCGUAGGCGGUUUGUUAAGUCGAAGGUGAAAUCCUCGGGCUCAACUCGAGAAUUGCCUUCGAUACUGGCAAACUAGAGUGGCGGAGAGGAAAGCGGAACUCUUGGUGUAACGGUGGAAUGUGUAGAUAUCAAGAGGAACACCGGUGGCGAAGGCGGCUUUCUGGACGCACACUGACGCUCAGGCGCGAAAGCGUGGGUAGCAAACAGGAUUAGAUACCCUGGUAGUCCACGCCAUAAACGAUGGGUACUAGGUGUCGGGGGUAUCGACCCCUCCGGUGCCGCAGUUAACGCACUAAGUACCCCGCCUGGGGAUUAUGGUCGCAAGGCUGAAACUCAAAGGAAUUGACGGGGCCCCGCACAAGCGGUGGAGCAUGUGGUUUAAUUCGACGCAACGCGAAGAACCUUACCUGGGCUUGACAUGCUCGGGACAGCGCUGGAAACAGCGUCUCUCCUUCGGGAGCCCUUGCACAGGUGCUGCAUGGCUGUCGUCAGCUCGUGUCGUGAGAUGUUGGGUUAAGUCCCGCAACGAGCGCAACCCUCGUUACUAGUUGCCAUCAGUUCGGCUGGGCACUCUAGUGAGACUGCCGGUGAUAAACCGGAGGAAGGUGAGGAUGAUGUCAAGUCAUCAUGGCCCUUACGCCCAGGGCUACACACGUGCUACAAUGGUCGGCACAAAGGGUCGCUAAGCCGCGAGGUGGAGCUAAUCCCAAAAAGCCGGCCUCAGUUCGGAUUGGAGUCUGCAACCCGACUCCAUGAAGGCGGAAUCGCUAGUAAUCGCGGAUCAGCAUGCCGCGGUGAAUAUGUUCCCNGGGGCUUGUACACACCGCCCGUCAUAUCACCCGAGUCGGGGAUACCCGAAGUCCGUGACCCAACCAUUUGAGGGAGCGGCCGAAGGUGUGCCUGUAAGGGGGGUAAAGUCGUANCAAG
rnacentral:rRNA from 1 species